AUGAGGACCCAGGUGCCAAGUAUAACAGAUAUAAGUGGUACCUGAUUUCCUGCUAUAGAUGUCUCUCCAGGUGCCAUCCUGAGAAGAGAAAGGAUCAGCAUGUUUUCAUCCUUACUAGGAUUUAGGCAGAAGGAUGGUUGAUGGGUAGGAAGAGAUUUGAUGAGAUGUACCAUCAGAGAUAAAAGGGAGGGAACAGAAACUUAACUGUGCUUUUACUUUUCAGAAGGGAGCUAGGGACUAUAGAUCAGGAGCCAAAACUUGGAUAAUGAGUGGAACAUCUGUGAACACAUAGAAGAACGGUUAUAGCAAAACACAUGACUGAAUGGGACAAUAUAGUGAAAAUGCAAACUUUGGCCUAGAGUGAUCGCAAUGUUCAACUCUGAACGAAAUGCCAAAAACAAGUACCUGAAGGCUAAAGACAGUGAACAAAAGCAGGCAAGUUUUGGUGGGAAGAUGAAACUUGGAAGAAGGUGCCAUUAAGAAGAGGUAAGUUUCCUGUUUUUGAUGUGUUAGCCUGAGGGCAGUCCACUAACAGAGUAGCUAAAACACAAUAGAAAGCCAUCUUUUUUAUUUUUAUUUUUAUUUUUUGGCUUGAACAACCUGAGAGCAGAGUCUGCAGCAGCACAGUCACUGGAAGGAGGGGGAAAUCCCAGAACAGAGACAGAGAAGGUCAUGCCGCAAUUUCUGAGUAUAAACUUUGCUUAGAUCUCUAGCUGACCCCUGAGGCACACCUAUGGGGUAGACACAAAGCAAUCUGCAGCUAGUCAGAACUCAACUGAGAUGUGAUUUACUUAUAACCACAGGUUGGGUCAGUUUGCAGUUUGAGUUGAACCAAGUUAAUCGAUUGCCUGCCACAGCAAAAACAUCGACACUAUUCUGAGGAGUAAAACGGAAUCCGUGGUUUCCACAACAUAACAGUCACAAUUCAAAAUUACUCAGCAUAGGAGGAACCAGAAAAAGGCAGUCCUUUGCAAAAGAUAAGACAAUUAAUGGAAGCCAACCCUGAGAUAACAUAGAUGUUGGCCUGAUCAGACAAGGACUAUGAAACAGCUAUUAUAACUAUGCUCAAUGAGGUAAAAGAAAAUAUGUUGUAAUGAAUGGAAAGAUAAGAAAUCUCAGCAAGGAUGGAGAAAUAUUUAGAAAUGUCGAUGAAAAGAGUCAAACUCUGUAAAAUAUUUGAAUAGAUUUAUUCUGAGCCAAAUAUGAGCGACCAUGACACGUGACAUAGCCAUCAGGAGGUCCUGAGAACAUGUGCCCAAGGUGGUUGGGGUUCAGCUUGGUUAUAUACAUUUUGGGGAGGCAUGAGACAUCAAUCAAAUACAUUUGAAAAAUACAUUGGUUUGUUCCAGAAAGGCAGGACAAUUUGAAGUGGGGGGGAUGGUGCUUCCAGGCUAUAGGUAAAUUUAAUCAUUUCUGGUUGACAAUUGGUUGAGUUUGUAUAAAGACCUGAGAUUAAUAGAAGAAUUUGAGCAAGAUAAAAAAUCAGAGCUUAGUCCUCAGAAAGAACCAAACAAAUUUUACAGAAGAACCAAACAAUAUCUGAGAUAAAAAUAUAUCUCUUAAUUCACUAU